UAGGGAAUCUUCCGCAAUGGACGCAAGUCUGACGGAGCAACGCCGCGUGAGUGAAGAAGGAUUUCGGUUCGUAAAACUCUGUUGUUAGAGAAGAACAGCGCAUAGAGUAACUGUUAUGCGUGUGACGGUAUCUAACCUGAAAGCCACGGCUAACUACGUGCCAGCAGCCGCGGUAAUACGUAGGUGGCAAGCGUUGUCCGGAUUUAUUGGGCGUAAAGCGAGCGCAGGCGGUCAAUUAAGUCUGAUGUGAAAGCCCCCGGCUCAACCGGGGAGGGUCAUUGGAAACUGGUUGACUUGAGUGCAGAAGAGGAGAGUGGAAUUCCAUGUGUAGCGGUGAAAUGCGUAGAUAUAUGGAGGAACACCAGUGGCGAAGGCGACUCUCUGGUCUGUAACUGACGCUGAGGUUCGAAAGCGUGGGUAGCAAACAGG
rnacentral:rRNA from 1 species